rnacentral:rRNA from 1 species
UACAGAGGGGGCGAGCGUUGUUCGGAAUUACUGGGCGUAAAGGGCGCGUAGGCGGCCCGCUAAGUCGAACGUGAAAUCCCCAGGCUCAACCUGGGAACUGCGUCCGAUACUGGCAGGCUUGAAUCCGGGAGAGGGAUGUGGAAUUCCAGGUGUAGCGGUGAAAUGCGUAGAUAUCUGGAGGAACACCGGUGGCGAAGGCGGCAUCCUGGACCGGUGUUGACGCUGAGGCGCGAAAGCUAGGGGAGCAAACGGG